GUUCAGCAGCCGCGGUAAUACGGGGGGUGCGAGCGUUAAUCGGAAUAACUGGGCGUAAAGGGCACGCAGGCGGUGACUUAAGUGAGAUGUGAAAGCCCCGGGCUUAACCCGGGAAUUGCAUUUCAUACUGGGUCGCUAGAGUACUUUAGGGAGGGGUAGAAUUCCACGUGUAGCGGUGAAAUGCGUAGAGAUGUGGAGGAAUACCGAAGGCGAAGGCAGCCCCUUGGGAAUGUACUGACGCUCAUGUGCGAAAGCGUGGGGAGCAAACAGGAUUAGAAACCCCCGUAGUCC
rnacentral:rRNA from 1 species